AGCAACCUGAUGAAAAUGACAGAUACUUCUUGCUUCCUACUAAUGUCUCGGUGACAAAAUGAUGAUGAGUCCUGAAAAUCAGCCACUAAUCAAGAAAGUGUGUUUGCUGAUACAAUAUUUUGGAUCAUCUUGGCUGAUUUUGAGCUGGCAAAAGAAUGGAGAAGGAGUUUUGACAUGUGAAUAAUCUUAAAUACUAUAUGAAUGGACAUAGAGAGGAUUGUUGGAGGAGGUCAUCAAGAAGACAUGACUGGUUGACAUGCGAGAUGGACCUGGGCAAUCAGAGGCUCCUCACCCCUUCCCUCCCCUUGGAAUGUAAGUUCUGCCUGUGGUUCCCACAGUGGGAGUUGUUUUCAAGGAUGCAGCCUUGAGAGAGCAACGUGAUGUUGAAACCAUCUGGACUGAAUAUGUGACUGAGCCCACUUAAGGCCUCUAUAUAAAGUUUUAAGAUUCUGGCAGGUGAGUGUGGAGAUCGACUCAUCUUGUGGCCGCCCAAGACAAGCCUGGUAAGUAAGUUUCCUUGCUUAUGAAACCUGCCACCUACCAGUCAGGAGUGGUCUGCCUCUUCCUUUGGUUUCUCUUUGCCCUCCAUGUACGAGGGCCAGUUUGUGAACCAUCAAGGAUAACUACCAAUAAUUUGUGCAUCAGUGGGUCUGCCAUGAGGAGAGGUUUUCCUCUGCUGAUCAAAAUACAUAUGUAGAAUAAAGCCUGUGUUAACGGGACAGAGUACUUAAAUCCUUUGCUCUGACUCUCUCUGACUGUGAUUCUAUCAGUUUACAUGAUAAGAAGUUGCUGUAGCAGUUUGCCAGCUUUUUCUAACGUACAACAUAUAUUUUAUCUUUCCAGCUGAUGUAUGUAAUAGAAGACAGAGGCUAUGUAUUACUUUUUGUACUCUUAGAGUAUCCUCAGAAGCAUUCAAUAAAUAGGGCUGACUAUAUUUACAUUUUAAAAUUUGCCUAUUAAAAUAUCUUAUUAAUUUCUGUUGGUAAAAAUCUUAUUAAUAUCUCUUAGGAAAUUACAUGAUCUGAACCUAUCUGGUAAGUAAAACUAUGACUAUUAAGGAGAGCAUGCUAUCGAAGUCAUGCCCUGCAGUACUCUCACCUAGUAUUAAUACUGCUAGUGAAUAUAUCCUAUACUGACUGAACGUAAUUCUAAACAAAACUGUGUAAUCUCAAUAAAAGAGAAAUCCUCCUUUUCUGAGAAAAACCUGACUGUGGAAGUAUAUCUGGGCUGUGCGAACACUAGUAAUACCAAGUAUUAGACAUGCUGUUAAACCAUGUGUGUUUAUAUCGUUUACGUUUUUGUAACAUUUUUCAUGGUUCCAAAUAGUCUUUAAAUUGGUAUUUUUGUGUUUUAAGUAUGUUAAAAUUAGUUUGAUUUCUACCUGCAAUAUCUAGGGACCUUCAGGGAUUUAUCUCUACCUCCUUAUUCUUCAGUAUUUCUGGAAUCUAAAUAAUAUACAGAAGUCAAAAAACAAUCUUGCAGUAUUUUUAUGCUGUUUAUUAUGUAUAUGAUACAUAUAUAAUACAUAUUAACUUCUCUAUAAAUAAUUUAUAUUGAUAAGCUAUAGUUCAAAUAUUGAAAAGUCUUCCCUAAAAAGAAUGACUCCUCUUGGGACGUGUACAAAAUAUUUCAUCAAUAAUUUUCUUUAUGUUUAGUGCUUUUUGUGAGCUCUGCAACCUGAGUCGGUUAUACAAAGAACAGCAACUUCUUGAAUAUAGAAGAUUCUGCAACUCCAGAUUGAGGAAUAUCAAAGAAAAGGGGGGAUUGAAACUGUAUACAAGAGGAGACCUUCAAGACGGCAGAGGAGUAAGACGUGGUGAUCACCUUCCUCCCCACAAAUACAUCAGAAACACAUCUACAUGUGGAACAACUCCUACAGAACACCUACUGAAUGCUGGCAGAAGACCUCAGACUUCCCAAAAGGCAAGAAACUCCCCACAUACCUGGGUAGGGCAAAAGAAAAAACACAGACAAAAGAAUAGGGACGGGACCUGCACCACUGGCAGGGAGCUGUAAAGGAGGAAAAGUUUCCACGUACUAGGAAGCCCCUACACUGGUGUAGAUGGCGGGUGGUGGCGGGGAAGCUUCGGAGCCACGGAGGAGAGCACAGCAACAGGGGUGCAGAGGG